UGGGGAAUAUUGCACAAUGGGCGAAAGCCUGAUGCAGCGACGCCGCGUGAGGGAUGACGGCCUUCGGGUUGUAAACCUCUUUCAGCAGGGAAGAAGCGAAAGUGACGGUACCUGCAGAAGAAGCGCCGGCUAACUACGUGCCAGCAGCCGCGGUAAUACGUAGGGCGCAAGCGUUGUCCGGAAUUAUUGGGCGUAAAGAGCUCGUAGGCGGUUAGUCGCGUCUGCUGUGAAAACUCGAGGCUCAACCUCGGGCUUGCAGUGGGUACGGGCUGACUANAGUGCGGUAGGGGGUGACUGGAAUUCCUGGUGUAGCGGUGGAAUGCGCAGAUAUCAGGAGGAACACCGAUGGCGAAGGCAGGUCACUGGGCCGCAACUGACGCUGAGGAGCGAAAGCAUGGGGAGCGAACAGGAUUAGAUAGCCCUGGUAGUCCAUGCCGUAAAACGUUGGGCACUAGGUGUGGGGUCCAUUCCACGGAUUCAGUGCCGCAGCAAACGCAUUAAGUGCCCCGCCUGGGG
rnacentral:rRNA from 1 species